rnacentral:hammerhead_ribozyme from 1 species
AUCCAACUGACGAGUUCCAAAUAGGACGAGACGUGUGACUUGGAU